GAUGAACGCUGGCGGCGUGCCUAAUACAUGCAAGUAGAACGCUGAAGGAAGGAGCUUGCUCUUUCCGGAUGAGUUGCGAACGGGUGAGUAACGCGUAGGUAACCUGCCUGGUAGCGGGGGAUAACUAUUGGAAACGAUAGCUAAUACCGCAUAACAGUAGAUGUUGCAUGAUAUCUACUUAAAAGGUGUAAUUGCACCACUACCAGAUGGACCUGCGUUGUAUUAGCUAGUUGGUGAGGUAACGGCUCACCAAGGCGACGAUACAUAGCCGACCUGAGAGGGUGAUCGGCCACACUGGGACUGAGACACGGCCCAGACUCCUACGGGAGGCAGCAGUAGGGAAUCUUCGGCAAUGGACGGAAGUCUGACCGAGCAACGCCGCGUGAGUGAAGAAGGUUUUCGGAUCGUAAAGCUCUGUUGUAAGAGAAGAACGAGUGUGAGAGUGGAAAGUUCACACUGUGACGGUAUCUUACCAGAAAGGGACGGCUAACUACGUG
rnacentral:rRNA from 1 species